CUGAACCAGCAACUUGGGAGAAUGCUACUUAAUAGUCGAGUAAGUAUACAUUUAUCUUGUAUAUAGUUCUAGGUAAAAUUUUGAUAAUGACAAAUUUUUAUUUAUUUGUCUUGACCAAAUCUUGUGCCAGCAGUCGCGGCAACACAAGGAAGACAAGUGUUAUUCAUCUUAAAUAGGUUUAAGGGGUACCUAGACGGUAAAUUAGGCCAUAGUAGGUACGUUUUUACUAGAGUUAUACAUGCAAGGGGAUUGUGUCAGUAUUACCAGAGUAGAGAUGAAAUUUUUUGAUACUGUUAAGACUGGUAAAGGCGAAAGCAAACCUU
rnacentral:rRNA from 1 species